CGGCACGUAGCGCAGCCUGGUAGCGCACCGUCAUGGGGUGUCGGGGGUCGGAGGUUCAAUUCCUCUCGUGCCGACCA
rnacentral:tRNA from 1 species